CACAGGCACUGAGUUAUGCCACCCAGAUGCCCCUUCACAGGACAGCCUGCCCAGCUGUGGAUUAUGUUACCACAGCAUCCAGCUCCUUCAAGGUCAAAGCUGCAGAGGACCUCUUUGUUCAAGGUCACACCUUUCCUGGGGCAGCUGCACCUGAGGCCUGAGCAAAGCGAGAGUAGAGAAGCCUGGCAUUCUGGCCUGACAAAGGACGACUUUAACAGGCAGUGUUCUCUCCAGAAUUCACCACCCGGUUGGCCAAGACAUUUCAACCUCUGCGCAGCCCCAUCUCCUCCUCCUCUCCUUUCUCAGCCAUCAGACCUGCCCUGCGGUCUGAAGGCUCCCCUGCCUCUCUGGCUCCCUCUCCACUUUUACUUCCACAAGGAUUUCUGCCCGCCUCAGCCCCCAAUCUCAUGUUUCUAUGUCCUUCUUGGCAUCUGACUCCCAGAGGACCCAGAAAUGACUGUUUCCCCUCUCCACCCCACGUGAAACAGCCCUGCGGCUCCUUGGCACUCUCUAACCCCAUUUCUCUGCUUAUUUUUCUCCACAGCAAUUGGCACCAUUUGCCAGGCAUUUUUUGUCAUAGAAUAUUUGUUUUCUCAUCAUCUCCCCACGAACCAGAACCUCAGCUGCUCCAGAGCAGGGACUUGGCCCUAAUCUCUCCAUAUCCACAUGCCUAGAGCAAAGCCCUGGAUGUGAAAUCCUCAGCCAUCUGGAGACCAAACCUCCACAAUAUUGAAGAAUCAGGCUCUUUUCCAGGACCUCACUUCUGCCACAGCUGUGUUAUGGCAACUGCUCAUUUCCCUACCAUGAGAUGGAAGUUUCUGGAAAGCCCUUCCUGAGUUGCUGACAUUGGAGCAGAGACCUGAAUGAAGACAGCAUUCCUGGAAGAGGUAAAAAGUGACCAGGCUUUGAGGGAAGAUGAUCCUGGCUUGAGAAGACCAGCGUGGUUGGAGCAGAAAGAUGGGCAGCAGCCAGCUCCUUCUGGACCUUGGAGGCUGGGGAAGAAGCUUGAUUUCAUUCUAAGUACAACCCAGUGACCAUCUGAUUCAUAUUAAACAUAGCAG
rnacentral:lncRNA from 1 species